rnacentral:rRNA from 1 species
UAUGUGAUCGUCUCUCGCAUAUCAAUAAGCGGAGGAAAAGAAACUAACAAGGAUUCCCCUAGUAACGGCGAGUGAAGCGGGAAGAGCUCAAAUUUGAAAUCUUAAAGGGUUUCCCUUUACGAAUUGUAGUUUAAAGAAGUGUUUUCUGUUGAGGUUUUGGUAAAAGUUCUUUGGAAUAGGACAUCAUAGAGGGUGAGAAUCCCGUAUUUGACCUUUACUUUCAACUUUGUGAUACACUUUCAAAGAGUCGGAUUGUUUGGGAAUGCAGUCCAAAAUGGGUGGUAAAUUUCAUCUAAAGCUAAAUAUUGGCGAGAGACCGAUAGCGAACAAGUACCGUGAGGGAAAGAUGAAAAGAACUUUGAAAAGAGAGUUAAACAGUACGUGAAAUUGUCAAAAGGGAAGCGUUUGACACCAGUGUUGUUUUUCUGAAAAUCAAUUAAAGAACUGUUUAUGCUAAGUUGUUUAGACUUUAUCAGCUAUCUGUUUAGUUUUGAGCUUUUCUUUAAUGCACUUUUCAGUUAACAAGUCAACAUCAAUUUCUUUUGCUGUAAAAAAGCUUGAGGAAGGUGGCUUGAGAUUCGUCUUAAGUGUUUAUAGCCUCUUGCCUAUGCAGUCGGAGAGAUUGAGGUCUGCAGCGUAGAUCCUUCGGGGCUAAAUGCAUUUGUGCUAAGUUAUAGCAUUUUAUAGACAACUUGUUGACUAUGAUUUGUCUUGUAGCUUACUCGCUUAUGUUAUUUUACCUACGCUUAGGAUGUUGAAGACUCUACAGAGAUA